rnacentral:rRNA from 1 species
AGUGAACGCUGGCGGUAGGCCUAACACAUGCAAGUCGAACGGCAGCACAGUAAGAGCUUGCUCUUACGGGUGGCGAGUGGCGGACGGGUGAGGAAUACAUCGGAAUCUACUUUUUCGUGGGGGAUAACGUAGGGAAACUUACGCUAAUACCGCAUACGACCUACGGGUGAAAUCAGGGGAUCUUCGGACCUUGCGCUAUUGAAUGAGCCGAUGUCGGAUUAGCUAGUUGGCGGGGUAAAGGCCCACCAAGGCGACGGUCCGUAGCUGGUCUGAGAGGAUGAUCAGCCACACUGGAACUGAGACACGGUCCAGACUCCUACGGGAGGCAGCAGUGGGGAAUAUUGGACAAUGGGCGCAAGCCUGAUCCAGCCAUACCGCGUGGGUGAAGAAGGCCUUCGGGUUGUAAAGCCCUUUUGUUGGGAAAGAAAAGCAGCAGGUUAAUACCCCGCUGUUCUGACGGUACCCAAAGAAUAAGCACCGGCUAACUUCGUG